rnacentral:rRNA from 1 species
UACGUAGGGUGCGAGCGUUAUCCGGAAUUAUUGGGCGUAAAGAGCUCGUAGGCGGUUUGUCACGUCUGCUGUGAAAACUGGAGGCUCAACCUUCAGCCUGCAGUGGGUACGGGCAGACUAGAGUGCGGUAGGGGAGAUUGGAAUUCCUGGUGUAGCGGUGGAAUGCGCAGAUAUCAGGAGGAACACCGAUGGCGAAGGCAGAUCUCUGGGCCGUUACUGACGCUGAGGAGCGAAAGCGUGGGGAGCGAACAGG